rnacentral:rRNA from 1 species
UGACGAGUGGCGGACGGGUGAGUAAUGCUUGGGAACAUGCCUUUGCGAGGGGGAUAACCGUUGGAAACGACGGCUAAUACCGCAUAAUGACUGAGGCCCAAAGGGGGGAGUUUACUCCUCUCGCGCGAAGAGUGGCCCAAGUGAGAUUAGCUAGUUGGUGAGGUAAAGGCUCACCAAGGCGACGAUCUCUAGCUGUUCUGAGAGGAAGAUCAGCCACACUGGGACUGAGACACGGCCCAGACUCCUACGGGAGGCAGCAGUGGGGAAUAUUGCACAAUGGGGGAAACCCUGAUGCAGCCAUGCCGCGUGUGUGAAGAAGGCCUUCGGGUUGUAAAGCACUUUCAGUUGUGAGGAAAGGUUGUUGGUUAAUACCCAGCAGCUGUGACGUUAGCAACAGAAGAAGCACCGGCUAACUCCGUGCCAGCAGCCGCGGUAAUACGGAGGGUGCGAGCGUUAAUCGGAAUUACUGGGCGUAAAGCGCACGCAGGCGGAAUGUUAAGCUAGAAGUGAAAGCCCUGGGCUCAACCUGGGAAGGCCUUUUAGAACUGGCAUUCUAGAGUUUUGGAGAGGGGAGUGGAAUUCCACGUGUAGCGGUGAAAUGCGCAGAUAUGUGGAGGAACAUCAGUGGCGAAGGCGACUCUCUGGCCAAAGACUGACGCUCAUGUGCGAAAGUGUGGGUAGCGAACAGGAUUAGAUACCCUGGUAGUCCACACCGUAAACGCUGUCUACUAGCUGUGUGUGAUUUUAAAUUGUGCGUAGCGAAGCAAACGCGCUAAGUAGACCGCCUGGGGGAGUACGGCCGCAAGGUUAAAACUCAAAUGAAUUGACGGGGGCCCGCACAAGCGGUGGAGCAUGUGGUUUAAUUCGAUGCAACGCGA